UACAGAGGGGGCAAGCGUUGUUCGGAAUUACUGGGCGUAAAGGGCGCGUAGGCGGCCUGUUAAGUCGAACGUGAAAUCCCCGGGCUCAACCCGGGAACUGCGUCCGAGACUGGCAGGCUCGAAUCCGGGAGAGGGAUGUGGAAUUCCAGGUGUAGCGGUGAAAUGCGUAGAUAUCUGGAGGAACAUCGGUGGCGAAGGCGGCAUCCUGGACCUGUUCUGACACUGAGAAGCGAAAGCAUGGGGAGCGAACAGG
rnacentral:rRNA from 1 species